UCCCAUCUCCACCUUAAACCUACCCGUCUCCACUCCUUGGAUCCCAUCUCCACCCUUAAACCUACCCGUCUCCACUCCCUGGAUCCCAUCUCCACCCUUAAACCUACCCUUCUCCACUCCCUGGAUCCCAUCUCCACCCUUAAACCUACCCGUCUCCACUCCCUGGAUCCCAUCUCCACCCUUAAACCUACCCGUCUCCACUCCCUGGAUCCCAUCUCCACCCUUAAACCUACCCUUCUCCACUCCCUGGAUCCCAUCUCCACCCUUAAACCUACCCGUCUCCACUCCCUGGAUCCCAUCUCCACCCUUAAACCUACCCUUCUCCACUCCCUGGAUCCCAUCUCCACCCUUAAACUUACCCUUCUCCACUCCCUGGAUCCCAUCUCCACCCUUAAACCUACCCUUCUCCACUCCCUGGAUCCCAUCUCCACCCUUAAACCUACCCGUCUCCACUCCCUGGAUCCCAUCUCCACCCUUAAACCUACCCUUCUCCACUCCCUGGAUCCCAUCUCCACCCUUAAACUUACCCUUCUCCACUCCCUGGAUCCCAUCUCCACCCUUAAACCUACCCUUCUCCACUCCCUGGAUCCCAUCUCCACCCUUAAACCUACCCGUCUCCACUCCCUGGAUCCCAUCUUCACCCUUAAACCUACCCGUCUCCACUCCCUGGAUCCCAUCUCCACCCUUAAACCUACCCUUCUCCACUCCCUGGAUCCCAUCUCCACCCUUAAACCUACCCUUCUCCACUCCCUGGAUCCCAUCUCCACCCUUAAACCUACCCGUCUCCACUCCCUGGAUCCCAUCUCCACCCUAAACCUAGCCUUCUUCACUCUCUUGAUCCCAUCUCCACCCUUAAACCUACCCGUCUCCACUCCCUGGAUCCCAUCUCCACCCUUAAACCUACCCGUCUCCACUCCCUGGAUCCCAUCUCCACCCUUAAACCUACCCGUCUCCACUCCCUGGAUCCCAUCUCCACCCUUAAACUUACCCUUCUCCACUCCCUGGAUCAAAUGGUUCCAAUUACUCUUAUAG
rnacentral:lncRNA from 1 species